GCUCAUUUCUUAAAUGCCAAGUCUUUAAGAACUCUUCAUGGGAUGCUCUCUGUUCCCGGCCCUAGAGGGACUUCAGGACUGUUUCUGCUGAAAACACUGACUGUCCCAUAAAUGACUGGACCAGGGAUGACAGGUGUCGGUCUGCAAGGCUCCAUGGGCAUUGGCCCAGGAUGAAACAAAGCCUAAAGGAAUACAGAAGUCCCACAACAUUCCAGCUGAAUAGCUUUUGCUGUGGAGCCAUGGCAGAGCCAGAGCAUUAAGCCUUGUUUCAAGUUUCUUGUCAGGUGCCGGACUCUAUCUGCCCAGAGAAUGCCUUUGCACACUGUUUAGUCCGCAGCUGGUGAGUGGAUCCACACAGCUCAGGAGAGCUGGAUUGUGUUCAGAUGCAGCCAGGGGAAGAAUCCUUGCCUGGACUCUCUGGCAAGCUCUAAGGAAAACCUCUCAAAAACAACAUCGCCAUCACCAUGGCCUGUGCGCCAUUCACAGGUAUCCGCUCUACUUCUCUGGCUGGUUCCUGCUCAUGAACUGGCACUGAGGUGGCUCCUCUGAAGCCAAGGUAGCUCGUGAAGGACACCAGGAUGGAGAGGGGAGUCCAGAGGGGAACGCAUGGAUCUCUCUCGGGGUCUGUGGCUCCUCCCUCUGGGCCUUCUCAGGGGCGGAGUCCAGGUGCUCACAUCCGCUUUGCACUGCAUUCUAGUGAAG